UUAUUUUCGACUAAUUUUAAAAGUAAUUACACCAAGCACUCAGAAUAAUAAUGUCAAGUUUAGUUGUAAGUGGAAAAACAGUUCGAUAAAUUGAACAAUCUGCCAUAUUUCAACUUGGUUGGUCUUAAAAUACUGACACAUGCAGUGAAAACUAUUUGUCUUAGUCAUCAGCUCACACAGCAAUCGCGCUUUUUCGUUCCCCAAUCGUUAGCCUAAAUACGUGAAGGAAAAACUCAUCAGAGAUUUUCAACACUUGAGGGUCGCCCCGCACUCACCUCAAAUGCGCCAUACAAUGGGCAUUUUUCAAGUUUAUUACUUGAACAUUUAUCAUUGCAUAGCCCAAACAAAAUGGGAAACGAAAUGAAUUGAAAUGCACUCAAGUAUUUCAGGAAAAAAAGAACAUAUAAGAAGAACAACAAGUCCUAUCAACCAAAUCCCCGUUUUUCAGGGUAUUCCUAGAUAUAAAUAUAUGCUGGAGUAUAUGGAGUACCACAAACAGAAUAGAAGUCAAAGUUCAAUAAGAGCAACAAGAUCAAACCAAGUGGUUUUUCAAUAAUAUUGCAAAUGGUCGGAAGAGCUUUUGCUGGGCGGGGUCUUGUGAUUGUAAACUACAACAAAAUCAAUGUAAACAAAUCGCAGCCCACAACUAAGGUGUGUGCAAGUCUGUGAGCAAAGGGUAUGAGGACUUUUUGUGGUGGGGGGUUCGGAGUACACCAAACAACUGCGAUAUGUAAGCGAAAACUAAGAA